UACGUAGGGGGCUAGCGUUGUCCGGAAUCAUUGGGCGUAAAGCGCGUGUAGGCGGUCCGGUAAGUCCGCUGUGAAAGUCGAGGGCUCAACCCUCGAAUGCCGGUGGAUACUGUCGGGCUUGAGUACGGGAGAGGCGAGUGGAAUUCCUGGUGUAGCGGUGAAAUGCGCAGAUAUCAGGAGGAACACCAACGGCGAAGGCAGCUCGCUGGGACGGUACUGACGCUGAGGCGCGAAAGCGUGGGGAGCAAACAGG
rnacentral:rRNA from 1 species